CCCUUAGAUGUUCUGGGCCGCACGCGCGCUACACUGACGCAUUCAACGAGUCUAAAACCUGGUCUGAUAGGGCUGGGUAAUCUUUUGAAUGUGCGUCGUGAUUGGGAUAAAUGAUUGUAAUUCUUCAUUUUCAACGAGGAAUGCCUAGUAAACGCAAGUCAUCAGCUUGCAUUGAUUACGUCCCUGCCCUUUGUACACACCGCCCGUCGCUCCUACCGAUUGAAUGCUCAGGUGAGCCAUUCGGACUUUCAUCAUGCUGGUUUCCAGUUUUGAUGAAGGAAAGUCUUGCGAACCUUAUCAUUUAGAGGAAGGAGAAGUCGUAACA
rnacentral:rRNA from 1 species